rnacentral:rRNA from 1 species
AUACGGGGGGUGCAAGCGUUAAUCGGAAUUACUGGGCGUAAAGCGCGCGUAGGCGGUUUGCUCAGUCGGAUGUGAAAGCCCAGGGCUCAACCUUGGAACUGCAUACGAUACUGGCAAACUAGAGUAUGAGAGAGGAUAGUGGAAUUUCCGGUGUAGCGGUGAAAUGCGUAGAUAUCUGAAGGAACAUCAGUGGCGAAGGCGACUGUCUGGCUCAACACUGACGCUGAGGUGCGAAAGCGUGGGUAGCAAACAGGAUUAGAAACCCUUGUAGUCC